CAAGUCGAGGGGCAGCAUGGUCUUAGCUUGCUAAGGCCGAUGGCGACCGGCGCACGGGUGAGUAACACGUAUCCAACCUGCCGUCUACUCUUGGACAGCCUUCUGAAAGGAAGAUUAAUACAAGAUGGCAUCAUGAGUCCGCAUGUUCACAUGAUUAAAGGUAUUCCGGUAGACGAUGGGGAUGCGUUCCAUUAGAUAGUAGGCGGGGUAACGGCCCACCUAGUCUUCGAUGGAUAGGGGUUCUGAGAGGAAGGUCCCCCACAUUGGAACUGAGACACGGUCCAAACUCCUACGGGAGGCAGCAGUGAGGAAUAUUGGUCAAUGGGCGAGAGCCUGAACCAGCCAAGUAGCGUGAAGGAUGACUGCCCUAUGGGUUGUAAACUUCUUUUAUAAAGGAAUAAAGUCGGGUAUGGAUACCCGUUUGCAUGUACUUUAUGAAUAAGGAUCGGCUAACUCCGUGCCAGCAGCCGCGGUAAUACGGAGGAUUCGAGCGUUAUCCGGAUUUAUUGGGUUUAAAGGGAGCGUAGAUGGAUGUUUAAGUCAGUUGUGAAAGUUUGCGGCUCAACCGUAAAAUUGCGGUUGAUACUGGAUAUCUUGAGUGCAGUUGAGGCAGGCGGAAUUUGUGGUGUAGCGGUGAAAUGCUUAGAUAUCACGAAGAACUCCGAUUGCGAAGGCAGCCUGCUAAGCUGCAACUGACAUUGAGGCUCGAAAGUGUGGGUAUCAAACAGGAUUAGAUACCCUGGUAGUCCACACGGUAAACGAUGAAUACUCGCUGUUUGCGAUAUACUGCAAGCGGC
rnacentral:rRNA from 1 species